UACGGAGGAUGCGAGCGUUAUCCGGAUUUAUUGGGUUUAAAGGGUGCGUAGGCGGUUUUAUAAGUUAGAGGUGAAAUCUCGGGGCUCAACUCCGAAAUUGCCUCUAAUACUGUAGGACUAGAGAGUAGUUGCGGUAGGCGGAAUGUAUGGUGUAGCGGUGAAAUGCUUAGAGAUCAUACAGAACACCGAUUGCGAAGGCAGCUUACCAAACUAUAUCUGACGCUGAAGCACGAAAGCGUGGGUAUCGAACAGG
rnacentral:rRNA from 1 species